rnacentral:misc_RNA from 1 species
UUGGGCGUUUAUCGCGGCGCCGAAAUGGCGAUCUCUUAAUUCAGGUUUUAAUUUUGGGGAUAAAAAAGAGUCGCAAGGUGUCAGGCCGGGAUUUAAAGUGGGCGUUGGAGGAUUGCAAUGAAUUUUUUAACAGGGAAAUCUCUUAUAUUAUAACUAUGCAUGAAGGGCUUGGUGCAUUAUCGUGGAAUUCGCGACGAAGCACUGAAAAAAGAGACAUACAAAAACACCCAUAUGGAUUCGGUGAAGAUCAGAGCACACCUAAGAAUUGUUCAUCCGUUUCCCUAUUUAACCCAAAAGAGUCACAAUCUGGAAGUUUGAACGGAAUGAAAGAGGUAAAGGAAGAAUAAAGAAAGUGUUUUGCCGUGUAUGGAUAUCCGCAUCAUUGCAGAAUAUAGCAUUUCUUUCUUUCUUGUUAUGCUUAAUGAUCAGUGACAUUGACUGAAGGCUUAUACGCAACAAAGCCAAUCCGCAGGCCAUAAUAUGUAUAGUAGAAUGCUACGACGCAAUUAAAUUGACUCUUAGAAGUAAAUAUGAGACAAUAAUGAAUUGACAAUAGAAUUGUCAAGCUUUGCAAAACUGUUUUAUUUGACAACUUCUAUAUUUUCAGGUUUACUAAUUUCUAAAUUAUAAGUAAUUUUCUACAUUAUAAGCUAAGAAUUUUCUUGCAAGCUGAUAAGAGAAGACUCUUCUUCGAUUUCGAGUUAUAUGCAGAAAUAUCGCUCGGCGUUAGUUUUCAAGCUGGAUUGGGUCAGUAGUAAUAUUAAUCCGGCCAACAUUAUUUAUAUUCACGAUCGUAUAAACGGAUCUCGAGACUCGUAUCGAAAGCAUAGAAGAAACCGUCACAAAAAUGGAUCAUAAAGAUCUACAUAGAAGACAAGGUACUCGGUCUGCGUAUACGUG